UCUCGGCGAUGUCGGCGGGCGCGGCCAUCGCCCUGGCCCGGCGAGCGGGCGAACUGGACCUCACCGUCGAGGUGUUCGGCACCCCUGCCGAGGA
rnacentral:tRNA from 1 species